rnacentral:snRNA from 1 species
GGAUGUGAGGGCGAUCUGGCUGCUACAUCUGUCACCCCAUUGAUCACCAGGUUUGAGUCAUCUGAUCUGGCUGGCUAGGUGGGCGUCCCUUUCCUCCCUCAUCACUCCAUGUAUGUCCCUCCCAAAGCUGCAUGCUUGGUCAAAGAGGACAGCCUUCCCCGAAUAGAGACAGACCAGUCUUAGGUCGAGGGUAUAAGAGUAGCUUUGCUCCACUGCUAGAACCUCCAAAUAAGCUCCAAUGGGAUCAGAGGAAUAUUCUGUGCUAACAGCAGAACUUCUACUUCAGAUCUCUUUUGCUUAAUUUACUCCUUACACCUUUUUGGGAAAUUGUAAGGGUGUGG